rnacentral:rRNA from 1 species
UACGUAGGUGGCGAGCGUUGUCCGGAUUUACUGGGCGUAAAGAGUGCGUAGGCGGUCGUGCAAGUCGCGUGUGAAAGCCCCCGGCUCAACUGGGGAGGGUCACGCGAUACUGCUCGACUUGAAGGCAGGAGAGGGAAGUGGAAUUCCCGGUGUAGUGGUGAAAUGCGUAGAUAUCGGGAGGAACACCAGUGGCGAAGGCGACUUCCUGGCCUGUUCUUGACGCUGAGGCGCGAAAGCUAGGGUAGCAAACGGG